rnacentral:rRNA from 1 species
AGAGUUUGAUCUUGGCUCAGGACGAACGCUGGCGGCAUGCCUAAUACAUGCAAGUCGAGCGAACAGAUGAAGUGCUUGCACUUCUGACGUUAGCGGCGAACGGGUGAGUAACACGUAAGGAAUCUACCUAUAAGCGGGGGAUAACAUUCGGAAACGGGUGCUAAUACCGCAUAAUAUCUUCUUCCGCAUGGAAGAAGAUUGAAAGACGGCUCUGCUGUCACUUAUAGAUGACCUUGCGGUGCAUUAGUUAGUUGGUGGGGUAAUGGCCUACCAAGACGAUGAUGCAUAGCCGACCUGAGAGGGUGAUCGGCCACAUUGGGACUGAGACACGGCCCAAACUCCUACGGGAGGCAGCAGUAGGGAAUCUUCCGCAAUGGGCGAAAGCCUGACGGAGCAAUGCCGCGUGAGUGAAGAAGGCCUUCGGGUCGUAAAACUCUGUUAUAAGAGAAGAACAAAUUGUAGAGUAACUGCUACAGUCUUGACGGUAUCUUAUCAGAAAGCCACGGCUAACUACGUGCCAGCAGCCGCGGUAAUACGUAGGUGGCAAGCGUUGUCCGGAUUUAUUGGGCGUAAAGGGAGCGCAGGUGGUUUCUUAAGUCUGAUGUGAAAGCCCACGGCUUAACCGUGGAGGGUCAUUGGAAACUGGGAAACUUGAGUACAGAAGAGGAAUGUGGAACUCCAUGUGUAGCGGUGGAAUGCGUAGAUAUAUGGAAGAACACCAGUGGCGAAGGCGACAUUCUGGUCUGUUACUGACACUGAGGCUCGAAAGCGUGGGGAGCAAACAGGAUUAGAUACCCUGGUAGUCC